AACGAACGCUGGCGGCAUGCCUAACACAUGCAAGUCGAACGGGGAAAGCUUUCGGGUGAGUACUAGUGGCGCACGGGUGAGUAACGCGUGGAUAAUCUGCCUUAGAGUGGGGGAUAACUAGUCGAAAGAUUAGCUAAUACCGCAUAAGACCACAAGAACUGCGGUUCAAGAGGUCAAAGGUUUUUCGCUCUAAGAUGAGUCCGCGUAAGAUUAGCUAGUUGGUGAGGUAACGGCUCACCAAGGCAACGAUCUUUAACUGGUCUGAGAGGAUGAUCAGGCACACUGGAACUGAGACACGGUCCAGACUCCUACGGGAGGCAGCAGUAGGGAAUAUUGCACAAUGGAGGAAACUCUGAUGCAGCGACGCCGCGUGAGUGAUGAAGGCCUUCGGGUCGUAAAGCUCUGUCGCAGGGGAAUAACACAAUGAAUGUACCCUGUAAGAAAGGAUCGGCUAACUUCGUGCCAGCCGCCGCGGUAACAC
rnacentral:rRNA from 1 species